rnacentral:misc_RNA from 1 species
UUUCCGUAGGUGAACCUGCGGAAGGAUCAUUAAUGAGUUGUCAUGGGGUUCGAUGCUGGCAGCCAAUUUUUGGAUGCAUGUGCUUGCCCUAACAAUCAUCUUCCAAACUCCUGUGCACAUUUUUGAGGGAGUCUUGAGUUGGUUGCCGCUCUUGGGUGAUUUUCUCACAUUCCCUUAAAUCAUUAUACGCUAUUAACAAUGUUGAACGUGCUCUGUGCCGCAAGGCUAUUAAUAUAAUACAACUUUUAACAACGGAUCUCUUGGCUCUC